rnacentral:rRNA from 1 species
CCUACGGGAGGCAGCAGUGGGGAAUAUUGCACAAUGGGGGAAACCCUGAUGCAGCGACGCCGCGUGAGUGAAGACGGUCCUAUGGAUUGUAAACCUCUUUUGUCGGGGAGCAAAAGACGCCACGCGUGGCGUUCCGUGAGUACCCGAAGAAAAAGCAUCGGCUAACUCCGUGCCAGCAGCCGCGGUAAUACGGAGGAUGCGAGCGUUAUCCGGAUUUAUUGGGUUUAAAGGGUGCGCAGGCGGAAGAUCAAGUCAGCGGUAAACUUGAGAGGCUCAACCUCUUCGAGCCGUUGAAACUGGUGUUCUUGAGUGAGCGAGAAGUAUGCGGAAUGCGUGGUGUAGCGGUGAAAUGCAUAGAUAUCACGCAGAACUCCGAUUGCGAAGGCAGCAUACCGGCGCUCAACUGACGCUCAUGCACGAAAGUGUGGGUAUCGAACAGGAGUAGAUACCCCAGUAGUC